rnacentral:tRNA from 1 species
AGAUAGAAGCCCGCUGGUUUGGGUGUUUAGCUGUUAACUAAAAUUUUACGGGAUCAAGGCCCGUCUAUCUAGGAGGUUUU